rnacentral:rRNA from 1 species
AUGCCACGUGCUGAUGGUCCCUUUAAGGUGUUAGAGAAAAUAAAUGAUAAUGCAUAUAAACUUGAGCUGCCUGCAGAUUUUGGGGUUAGUCCCACUUUUAACAUUGCAGAUUUGAAGCCUUAUUUGGGUGAGGAAGAUGAACUUCCGUUGAGGACGACUUCAUUUCAAGAAGGGGAGGAUGAUGAGGACAUCAAUACAAUUGUUACACCCACAGCCCCUGCUGCUAUACAUACUGGACCAAUUACUAGAGCUCGUGCACGCCAACUAAACUACCAGGUACUUUCGUUUCUUGGUAAUGAUUCUAAUGUUCAUGAGAAUAUGAUGCUGCCUAAAUUGGAUACAUUUGUUUUGCUUACAAAUGAAGGGCCUAGCUUGGAGAAGGAUGAACAUUGGAGC